GAUGAAGAACGUAGCGAAAUGCGAUAAGUAAUGCGAAUUGCAGAAUUUCCGUGAAUCAUCGAAUCUUUGAACGCACAUUGCGCCCUCUGGUAUUCCGGGGGGCAUGCCUGUUCGAGCGUCAUUAUAACCACUCAAGCUCUCGCUUGGUAUUGGAGUUCGCGAUCUCGCGGCUCCUAAAAUCAGUGGCGGUGCCUGUCGGCUCUACGCGUAGUAAUACUCCUCGCGAUUGAGUCCGGUAGGUUUACUUGCCAGCAACCCCCAAUUUUUACAGGUUGACCUCGGAUCAGGUAGGGAUACCCGCUGAACUUAAGCAUAUCAUAAGCGGAGGA
rnacentral:misc_RNA from 1 species